rnacentral:rRNA from 1 species
UAUGUACAUGCUUGUAGCAUUAAUGCACCAGAUCCCAUUAGAAUUUUGUAGUUAAGUGUUCUUGGGCUAAAGUAGUAUUGGGAUGGGUGACCUCCCAGGAAGUCCUAGUGGUUUACAUGC